UACGAAGGUCCCGAGCGUUAUCCGGAUUUAUUGGGUUUAAAGGGUGCGUAGGCGGAUUAUUAAGUCGGCGGUGAAAGCCUUCAGCUUAACUGAAGAAUUGCCAUUGAUACUGAUGAUCUUGAGUAUGAUUGAGGUGGGCGGAAUGUGUCAUGUAGCGGUGAAAUGCUUAGAUAUGACACAGAACACCGAUUGCGAAGGCAGCUCACUAAGCCAUAACUGACGCUGAUGCACGAAAGCGUGGGGAGCAAACAGG
rnacentral:rRNA from 1 species